rnacentral:rRNA from 1 species
UACGUAGGUGGCAAGCGUUGUCCGGAAUUAUUGGGCGUAAAGCGCGUGCAGGCGGUCCUUUAAGUCUGAUGUGAAAUCCCACGGCUCAACCGUGGAAGGUCAUUGGAAACUGGGGGACUUGAGUACAGAAGAGGAAAGUGGAAUUCCAAGUGUAGCGGUGAAAUGCGUAGAGAUUUGGAGGAACACCAGUGGCGAAGGCGACUUUCUGGUCUGUAACUGACGCUGAGGCGCGAAAGCGUGGGGAGCAAACAGG